UACGUAGGGCGCAAGCGUUGUCCGGAAUUAUUGGGCGUAAAGAGCUCGUAGGCGGUUUGUCGCGUCUGCUGUGAAAACUCGAGGCUCAACCUCGGGCUUGCAGUGGGUACGGGCAGACUAGAGUGCGGUAGGGGAGACUGGAAUUCCUGGUGUAGCGGUGGAAUGCGCAGAUAUCAGGAGGAACACCGAUGGCGAAGGCAGGUCUCUGGGCCGCAACUGACGCUGAGACGCGAAAGCGUGGGGAGCGAACAGG
rnacentral:rRNA from 1 species